ensembl:lncRNA
UGCUGUCUGAGAAGAAUAACACCCUGUGGAGCUGACAGGAUUGUGUUUGAUCUUGGUCAUUGAAAGUGCAGAAGGAUACUGCUUGACAACAAAUUGCUUGGAGCAAAAAAUUGCUUGGAGAAGGUAUCCUAUAAGAUUCAGUACCUUUUCUGUAGGAGUCUACUAUAAAGAAGCAUCUGCAUAAAUAAAAAUUUUGCAGGAAACUUUAAACAAGAAAGAACAAGCCUUAUUUGUGAAUGAUAGUGAAGUAAUCUGGACCAAACUGAACAUAUUCAGACAGUACAUUUCCAGUUUGCAUCUACACAUUGACAACAACAACAACAACAAAAAAAAGAAUACCAAGUCUACACAGGCCUUGAGUGGCAGAUACAAGAGUGAUUAUUCUGUGUCCAACACAUGAGGUCAUCACUAAGAGCAAGAAUUUCCCAUGGGUAACUGGCAGAAGAUGAUCAUCCUGCUGUCAUCAAACACCUACUGAGUCACAGUGCUAUCCCGGCACCAUGAAAUUCUGUAUGCUUCAGAGGCUGACUUUUGCGUAUAAACAUAUCAUAGAUAAUAAUGAAAGGAGAGGAAAAUAAAAUUUAUUGCAACACAUCUCCUGCACUAAGUAUAUGUGUUUUCCUUCUACUGACAAGGAUUGUAAGGGGAACGCAAAUUCUACCUCUACCCCUCAACCCAGAGACUCCAUCUUUAGGAACAAUAGAAUAUAACAUCAUUUUCUCCAGCACUAAUUCCAGACUGUAAUCUUAUGGCCCUCCUUGGCUGCUGUGCCUGCUUGCUGUGGAGUGGAACUGAAAAUCUUGGCAGAAACUGAAAGGUAAAUGUGUUCAGAAGGCUGGGUGGAAACAGUUUUUCAUGCAAAAGUAUAAUAUAAAUGUGGUACAAUUUCAUAAGUUACUGAGACACAACCUCUGGAGGGAAUUCAAAUAACAAGCAAGGUGACAUCCUAAGGGAAAGAAAGUAUUUAAAAGAGUGAUAGGAGGAAAAUGUUUUACAAAAUCCUUUUUAAAAAUCUUGCUAUUAAAGGACAGCAAUACUUCACUCACAAAUCAAUCAAAAUUUUCUGGAGCCAGACUUGAGGAUAUACUGUGAAGAAAUGAGUGGUGUAGCAGUAAAAGAGCUUUAUGUAUUAGAGAAAAAGCUACAUUAUUAUUUUUUUUUUACAUGAAGAAUUCUUUAUCUUCUUUUCCAGAACAAUAUGAAAUAUUUUAUCUGAGAAUGCAGAGAUAGUAGCAGCACCAGCAACACCAUUUUUGUCUCUUACUAAAGAAAGCAAAAUGGAGGAGAUGUCAGUCUUUCAUGUGGGGAAAUAGAAUGGUGAGAAUGGUUCUCAGGUUGGCUUGAGGUGCACCUAUGGCCACUGAGGGGUUACAGGUGCAUGCAGUCGCCCUUUGCAUCUUCUGAAACUGAACUUCCAAAUGUAUCAGUCCUUGCAAUGAAUUAAAACUGCUAUCUAUUUUUAUUUACAUCCAGUGCCUGGAGAUUUCAGGGUGGCUAAAUGGGGAAACAUCAAGCUCAAGAGAGAAGUAGGUGGUUGGUUUUUUUUUGUCUUUGUUGGCAUAUCUUGAGUUAAUCCAACUUCUCCACAUUUUUGCUCACAGACCAGAGUCAACUAGUUCUUUAGUUGUUUAGUUCUUUAGUUGAAUUCUUAUCAGAAUUUGAGAGUGCAAGAAGGAAAACAAAGUGAAAAAAAAAGAAAAGGUGAAACUGAGUUUAGAGCACAACAACUAGUUCCAUCAGAAGGAAAACAAAAGUAAAAAGCCAACAUAUAUUAUUCACAGAUAUCUAUACACACACAAGAUAAUUAAAUACAGCAUUAAGAUAAUUAAAUAAGCAUAUAUUUAUAGAUUUUUCUCUUCAAGAGGAGAGAAGAAAUAGAUGUGAAGUGAAAUAGAAGUGUUAUAUUUACAUCCUCAGACACUGUGAAUGAUGCCUGAUAAGAAAGAUCCA